rnacentral:piRNA from 1 species
UAAACCAGCAAUGCAUGGCCCUGCGUGC